GGAGAGGUCGCAUAGCCCGGUCUAGUGCGGGCGCCUGCUAAGCGCCUGAGUGGGGUUAUACCCUGCUCCGCGGGUUCAAAUCCCGCCCUCUCCGCCA
rnacentral:tRNA from 1 species